GAAAUACGAAAUUAAUUGCGGGAAGUCAGAUAAAUUAUUAUUGUUAUCAUGUAGGAUGUUUGGUGUUCGUUAUGAACUGUUUUCUGGGCUGGAAUAUCGGAGGAUUGGCUGUAGUUGUUGUUGUUAUAUUACGGAUAUACGGAAAUAAAGAAGUGUAUAUAAGCAUUGGCAUCCGAAUGUAUAUUGGGCUGUUUUGGGAGUAAUUUAAGAAUGAAUUUAAUUCUAGUUUGAUAUGAAAUUGUUGGUAUUAUUGUUGUUGGUAUUUUUAUUGAUGUUUGGCUAAGUUGGAAUUUCGAGGAUUGUUAAGUUUACAGGGGAAAUGCUGCCCGAAUUUUGUUAAGUUUCAUUCGUACUUGGAUUGGUUAGUAAGUGAUGUGGAUAAUCUAACUGUGGCCUAUGUUAUCUUAAUUUUAGACCUGCGAGCUCGAGAAGUAGACGUUGGACAUUAGAUAGAGUUCAAGGUAGACAGGGAGGUGAGCUUGAUCCAGAUUCUUAGUAGCUGUCAGCUGAUUGAGAGCACUCCAUUGUUCGGAGGUGCUUAUGUUUAUUCUUUUGGUUCCUUUAUGUAUUUCGCACACGACGGAGUCCUGUUCCGUCUAUAUGUAUAAUAUGUCAGUAGAGGCUCGUAGACGCGCAGUGUGGGUUAGAUGGUCUCACAAGAUGUUAUAUUUGUAUAUGUUAUUUUGAUGGCCGAGAGGCAAAUGUAUAUAAGUAUUUAUGUUUCUAUAUAAAAUAUGAUUUUCCUACAA